GCCGAGGUGGCGGAAUGGCAGACGCGAAGGUCUCAAAAACCUUUGAGCCUAAAGCUCAUGAGGGUCCGACUCCCUCCCUCGGCACCA
rnacentral:tRNA from 1 species